AACGAACGCUGGCGGCAUGCUUAACACAUGCAAGUUGAACGAGAACCCGGGGCUUGCCCCGGUGGACAGUAGCGCACGGGUGAGUAACGCGUGGGAAUCUGCCCUAGAGUGGGGAACAACAGUUGGAAACGACUGCUAAUACCGCAUACGCCCUUCGGGGGAAAGGCUUCGGCCGCUCUUGGAUGAUCCCGCGUUCGAUUAGCUUGUUGGUGAGGUAACGACUCACCAAGGCGACGAUCGAUAGCUGGUCUGAGAGGAUGAUCAGCCACACUGGGACUGAGACACGGCCCAG
rnacentral:rRNA from 1 species